rnacentral:rRNA from 1 species
CCAAUAGCGUAUAUUAAAGUUGUUGCAGUUAAAAAGCUCGUAGUUGAAUUUCGGGAUCAAGUCGUCGGUCGUGCUUAGGUACGUACUGGUGUCAUUGAUUUCUCCCUUCUGACGAACCAUGAUGUCAUUAAUUUGGUGUUAUGGGAAAUCAGGACUGUUACUUUGAAAAAAUUAGAGUGUUUAAAGCAGGCUCACGCUUGAAUACAUUAGCAUGGAAUAAUGAAAUAGGACGUUCGAUCCUAUUUUGUUGGUUUUAGGAUCAACGUAAUGAUUAAUAGGGGUAGUUGGGGGCAUUAGUAUUCAAUUGUCAGAGGUGAAAUUCUUGGAUUUAUUGAAGACUAACUACUGCGAAAGCAUUUGCCAAGGAUGUUUUCAUUAAUCAAGAACGAAAGUUAGGGGAUCGAAGACGAUCAGAUACCGUCGUAGUCUUAACCAUAAACUAUGCCGACUAGGGAUCGGAUGAUGUUAAUUUUUUAAUGACUCAUUCGGCGCCUUACG